UGUGUGUGUGGGGGUGGGGUGUGUAGGGGCUGUAUAUAGACUGUGUUGGGGACUGUGUAUAGACUGUGUGUAUAGGCUGUAUAUAGGCUGUGUACAGGCUGUGUGGGAGGCUGUGUAUUAGACUGUGUGGAGGGCUGUGUGUAUAGGCUGUAUAUAGGCUGUGUAGGGAGCUGUGUAUAGGCUGUGUAUAGACUGUGUGGGGGGCUGUGUAUAGGCUGUGUAGGGGGCUGUGUAGGGGAGGCCUGAAUACUACACCAUAUAGUGCCACCCCCCCACCACAAGUGCCACCACCACCACAAGUGCCACCCCCACCACCACAAGUGCCACCCCCCCUACCACAAGUGCCACCACCACAAAUGCCACCCCCACCACAAGUGCCUCCGUCAUGUGUAUCCAACACCUGUGUACCAGUGCCUCCAUCAGGUGUGUCCUACACCUGUGUAUCAGUGCCUCCAUCAGGUGUGUCCUACACCUGUGUAUCAGUGCCUCCAUCAGGUGUGUCCUACCCCCUGUGUACCAGUGCCUCCAUCAGGUGUGUCCUACACCUGUGUACCAGUGCCUCCGUCAGGUGUGUCCUACACCUGUGUACCAGUGCCUCCAUCAGGUGUGUCCUACACCUGUGUACCAGUGCCUCCAUCAGGUGUGUCCUACACCUGUGUACCAGUGCCUUCGUCAGGUGUGUCCUACACCUGUGUACCAGUGCCUCCGUCAGUAACAGGACCCCAAACCUUCCCCUGGACCAGGUUAAGGUUGUCCUGGUCCUGUCUAGGUCCCCCGCGGGGCAGCCCCAGAUGAAAGUGCCUGAGGGAGGUCCCGAGGGCCUCCUGCGAGUGCCACUUGUAGUCCCUCUCUGUGGUUGACACUAUAAUUGCUCACUGAGUGCCUCUUGCGCUGUGAUGUUGACGUAAAUGUUGGUAUAAAUGUUCGGUUGUAAGUAAACUAAUGUGAGCUUGUCAGUACUAUGAGUGUGUGCAAUAAACUAUAUUCUCAGA